GGCGCCAUCGUCUAGUGGUUAGGACAUGAGGUUUUCAUCCUCACAACCGGGGUUCGAUUCCCCGUGGCGUCACAA
rnacentral:tRNA from 3 species